AUUUUGGCGUACAGUACUUAGUUGCAUUAUGAAGGACUAAUUAAUACUAGUGUCAUUUGGCUUACUAGUGUGUGUGUAGUGUUUGGGAGAAAACGUGUUAAUGUUUGCAUCUUUUGUUAGUUUCAGUUUGGUUGCCUCUGUUUUGUAAUCUUGCCACUGUGAUGGAUAGUUGUGUGCUGUGUUGGAGAGGUUACAUUGGUUAGUUUCCAGGCCCCAGCCUGGAAACUCUUGCUCUACAUGUAUUGCUCUAUAUGCGGUUGUGACAUCGGUCUGAGGUUUCAGUCUGAGGUUGGCUGGGGCAAGUGGAAGUGUGAACCCUCAUCAAGAGGCUGGGCUUCGAGACGGUUCGUGACAGGAGAAAAAAGGAGGCUUGAACACCAUCGACGAACACCAUCCCAACUGUGAAGCACGGGGUGGCAGGAUCAUGUUGGUGAGGUGCUUUGCUGUAGGAGGGACUGGUGCACUUCACAAAAUAGAUGGCAUCAUGAGGAAGGAAAAUUGUGGCUAUAUUGAAACAACAUCUCAAGACAUCAGUCAGGAAGUUAAAGCUUGCUCGCAAAUGGGUCUUCCAAAUGGACAAUGACCUCAAGCAUACUUCCAAAGAUGUGGCAAAAUGGCCUAAGGACAACAAAGUCAAGGUAUUAGUGGCCAUCACAAAGCCCUGACUUCAAUCCCAUAGAAUAUUUCUGGGCAGAACUGAAAAAGCAUGUGCGAGCAAGGAGGCCUACAAACCUGACUCAGUUACACCAGCUCUGUCAGGAGGAAUGGGCCACAAUUCACCCAACUUAUUGUGGAAGGCUACCCAAAACGUUUGACAUAAGUUAAACAAUUUAAAGGCAAUUCUACCAAAUACCAAUUGAGUUUAUGUGAACUUCUGACCCACUGGGAAUGUGAAAUAAAGGCUGAAAUAAAUAAAUCAUUCUCUCUACUAUUAUUCUGACAUUUCACAUUCUUAAAAUAAAGUGGUGAUCCUAACUGACCUCAGACAGGGUUUUUUUUUUUUUUACUAGGAUUAAAUGUCUGGAAUGGUGAAACUGAGUUUAAAUGUAUUUGACUAAGGUGUAUGUAAACUUCUGACUGCAUGGAUAAACUCUUUUGAAGAUGUAAUCCUGAGACAAGUGUUUUGCAUAACAGCUUUCUGUGUUUCUCUUUUUGACUCCCUCCACAUUUGUAAUC